CCAAAGGCUGGCCCCCCAUCAGGGUCAUGUUCUGCGACCGCAGAAGGACCUCAUUGUAGUAGAUCACAUCGAGAAUUUGUUUCUGGUCUACUAUGGCUAUUUUCUUCACCAAACCAGGAAAAAAAAAUAUAUAUACUGUAUGUCGGUGGGGCGUUUUGCCCCUGUAAUAUGUGAAAACGUA
rnacentral:misc_RNA from 1 species